rnacentral:rRNA from 1 species
GGUUAAGUGAAUAAGGGCGCACGGUGGAUGCCUUGGCACUAGGAGCCGAUGAAGGACGGGACUAACACCGAUAUGCUUUGGGGAGCUGUACGUAAGCUAUGAUCCAGAGAUUUCCGAAUGGGGGAACCCAGCAUCUUUAAUAGGAUGUUACGAUUGUGUGAAUACAUAGCACAUUCGAGGUAGACGCAGAGAACUGAAACAUCUAAGUACCUG